UACGUAGGGUGCGAGCGUUGUCCGGAAUUAUUGGGCGUAAAGAGCUCGUAGGCGGUUUGUCGCGUCGACUGUGAAAACCCGAGGCUUAACCUCGGGCCUGCAGUCGAUACGGGCAGACUAGAGUGCUGUAGGGGAGACUGGAAUUCCUGGUGUAGCGGUGAAAUGCGCAGAUAUCAGGAGGAACACCGGUGGCGAAGGCGGGUCUCUGGGCAGUAACUGACGCUGAGGAGCGAAAGCGUGGGGAGCGAACAGG
rnacentral:rRNA from 1 species